GUUUCUACAACCACAUCCACAUGUUUCUACAUCCACAUGCCGUAGGUCUGAGAACAUAAACAACCUCUUACCGAACUGUCAAAAUUUUCCCACAGCUGCUUGUCAAUUUACACUGGAUGCUUCAACCUCUAUCCUCAACUAACCUUGGUUCCGAGCAUGCGGUUUUUGCAACGGCCAUUUCGUACCACCCCAAGCGAGUGAAAAAGUCACUUUUCGGCUGUGUUUUCGAUUGAUAUUUCGUGCACGAUUUGACAAACGAAAUAGUGUACGAAAUUCAGACUUUUUUCGGCACAUACCCAAACGAGUGAAAAUGUCACUUUUCGGCUGUUUUUUCGAUUGAUAUUUCGUGCACGAUUUGACAAACGAAACAGUGUACGAGAUUCAGAUUUUUUUCGGCACAUAACCACAACAGCGUGCAAUGGCAUAUUUGCUAUCUUCAUUGCACGUCUAGCGUUACACAUUUUGAGGUUAAAUAGUUUUUAAAUUGUUGGUAUUUAUAUGAAUGAUACGAUACGAAAGAACACAACUGAUGCAAGCUAAACGUAAUACACAAAAAGAAAUACACAUAACCUGCUUCAACGCUUGGCUUGGAGAGCGAAAUGUUACGAAUGGAAGAACCACACAUACAAUCAUAUAUUGCUUGUCAAAUUAUGAGAGUGUAUAAGUUAUCGUCCGAAAAUUUCCGCUUGGGACUUCGAUCUCAUCACCUUCUCUCCCCUCCCACCUUCCUUUUUGAUCCACACUUUGGGGCUUGCAAAUUUUUGACAUGUCAAAUGAGAGUGAAGCCAAAAUGUAAACAGCAAGUGUUUGCGUGUGCGGUGAUUUUAAUAAACAUAAAAUCAACCACGGAAGUAUGAUUUAGUUGUGGUGGAAGCGAAAAAAAAUGCUUGAGUAUGGAAUAAAACCGGAUGAAAUUUCUAGCCUUCACGCACGAUGCCGACGCUGAGGUAAGGUGUGCUUGUGUUUAAUUUCGAUGAUUGUUUCAUUUUAGGGUGUGAUUUUUCAGAUAUAACUGUUCCUGGCGGGGAUAGUCAAUAGUCAAUGCCCUCUGCAGCUGUGAAGGGAUGCAGAAAAAGGGGCUCACUACCACCCUUCCCACACUCGGACGCAUUUUCCGGGGAUGAAGGAUAUGUUCCUGGCUAUAUGCGCAAAAUCUAACGGUAACCCGUGUUGUGAACGAAUCGGCAUAUGCGGUGCCGGACACUGUGGAAAUUGUACACAACGGGACGAUGUCCAGGCACGACACUAGAGUACGAUUACAUGCAACUGAUCUGCUCAGCGUGCCACCUGAUGCUGGCGUUCGGCAAGACACAGAAGGAAAGGAUUUCGACGUGUGGAACAAGGAUGUGCUGAAUGCGUUCCUGAUCGAUAUCACGUGGAUCAUUCUACUGCGACUAGUUGACGGAAAUUGUCGCAUUGUACCAUAGCGUUCCGGUGAUGCCAAAAGACUAAGCAGACUUCUCCAGCUACUUAUCCACGCCGAAGGAUGACCGUGCUCAGGGCAGCAAACAACUCGCCGGAGCACGGAGCACGAAAGGCAUCGUACGCGCAAGGCUUCAUGCUGCUGCCCGAAGCGGCCAACGAGUAAAAAAGGAACCUGAACUACGGUUGCUCCUCGGCAACAUUUGAAACGAGAUUGUAAACAAUUCGCAUCGUACCAUCCAUCUUAUCAUGCGUAUUCCAUAAAAUUAUUCUGCAGUUAUGAAGCGGCUGACAUUAACUUGUUAUAAGGUUACCAAAACUGAAUUGAUGUAAGGCUUCAUGGUUCAGUAUUUGGCCGAAAACGUACGUACUAGUUCAUUGAACUAUAUAAAAAACAUCAAACCAGCACGCUGUUGC